rnacentral:rRNA from 1 species
UGCAAGUCAUGGGGCGUAAGCACCGGCAGAAUGCUCAGUAACACGUCGAUAAUCUGCCCAUAGGUUAGGGAUAGCCUCGGGAAACUGAGGGUAAAACCUAAUAUGAAAUGUUUUCUGGAAGGAUUCAUUUUUCAAAAGUAAUGCCUAUGGAUGAGUCGGCGGCCGAUUAGGUAGUUGGUGGGGUAAUGGCCCACCAAGCCUGGGAUCGGUAGGGGCCUUGAGAGAGGUAGCCUCGAGAAGGACACUGAGGAACUGGUCCUAGUCCUACGGGGUGCAGCAGUCGCGAAACCUUUACAAUGCACGAAAGUGUGAUAAGGGAAUCCCAAGUGCUAAUGCUUUGCAUUGGCUUUUGCCAAGAGUAAAUAUCUUGGCGAAUAAGUGGUGGGUAAGACUGGUGCCAGCCGCCGCGGUAACACCAGCGCCACGAGUGGCAGCCGUAUUUAUUGGGCCUAAAGCGUCCGUAGCUGGUCUUGUAAAUUCUUUGUUAAAUCAACAAGCUCAACUUGUUACCUGCAGAGAACACUGCAAGACUUGGAACCGGGAGGGGUCAGAAGUAUGUUCGGGGGCGCGGUAAAAUGCAUUAAUCCCGAAUAGACUACCUAUGGCGAAGGCAUCUGACCAGAACGGGUUCGACAGUGAGGACGAAGGCUAGGGGAGCGAACCGGAUUAGAUACCCGAGUAGUCCUAGCAGUGAACGCUGCGAGCUAGAUGUUGGAUAUUCUCCGUGAAUAUCCAGUGUCGUAGAGAAGUCGUUAAGCUCGCCGCCUGGGAAGUAUGGUCGCAAGACUGAAACUUAAAGGAAUUGGCGGGGGAGCACACAAGAGGUGCGGCGUGCGGUUUAAUCUAACUCUACACAGAAAAUCUCACCAGAAGCGACGGCAGAAUGAAAGUCAGGUUAAAGUUCUUACUAGACAAGCCGAGAGGUGGUGCAUGGCCGCCGUCAGCUCGUGCCGUAAGGUGUCCACCUAAGCGUGAUAACGAGCGAGACCCAUGUCAACAAUUGCUAGCGUGUUUUUUAGAAUGCGUGCACAUUGUUGAGACUGCCUUGGAAACAAGGAGGAAGGUGUGGGCUACGGUAGGUCUGUAUGCCCCGAAUCUUCUGGGCAACACGCGCGCAACAAUGAUGCGGACAAUGGGAUGCAACUCCGAAAGGAGAAGCUAAACCUCGAAACCGCAUCCAAGUACAGAUUGAUGGCUGCAAUUCGCCUUCAUGACGAUGGAAUCUCUAGUAAUCGGACGUCAACAGCGUCCGGUGAAUAUGUCCCAGCUCCUUGCACACACCGCCCGUCAAGCCACUCGAGCAGGGUUUUGACAAGCUUUAAUUUUAAUUAAUGCGAGUUAAAGCUCAGUGAGAUGGGCUAAGUCGUCACAAGGU